rnacentral:rRNA from 1 species
GAUGAACGCUGGCGGCGUGCCUAAUACAUGCAAGUCGAGCGAACAGACGAGGAGCUUGCUCCUCUGACGUUAGCGGCGGACGGGUGAGUAACACGUGGAUAACCUACCUAUAAGACUGGGAUAACUUCGGGAAACCGGGGCUAAUACCGGAUAAUAUAUUGAACCGCAUGGUUCAAUAGUGAAAGACGGUUUUGCUGUCACUUAUAGAUGGAUCCGCGCCGCAUUAGCUAGUUGGUAAGGUAACGGCUUACCAAGGCGACGAUGCGUAGCCGACCUGAGAGGGUGAUCGGCCACACUGGAACUGGGACACGGUCCAGACUCCUACGGGAGGCAGCAGUAGGGAAUCUUCCGCAAUGGGCGAAAGCCUGACGGAGCAACGCCGCGUGAGUGAUGAAGGUCUUCGGAUCGUAAAACCCUGUUAUUAGGGAAGAACAAAUGUGUAAGUAACUAUGCACGUCUUGACGGUACCUAAUCAGAAAGCCACGGCUAACUACGUG